CCGGCGCACGGGUGAGCAACACGUAUGCAACCUGGCCGCCACAGGGGGAUAACCCGCGGAAACGCGGCCUAAUACCCCGUGACGCCACCGGAGGGCAUCCUCCGGUGGCCAAAGGAGCGAUCCGGUGGCGGAUGGGCAUGCGGCGCAUUAGCUAGACGGCGGGGUGACGGCCCACCGUGGCGACGAUGCGUAGGGGUUCUGAGAGGAAGGCCCCCCACACUGGGACUGAGACACGGCCCAGACUCCUACGGGAGGCAGCAG
rnacentral:rRNA from 1 species